UAAGUAGGGUGCGAGCGUUAAUCGGAAUUACUGGGCGUAAAGCGUGCGCAGGCGGCUUUGCAAGACAGAUGUGAAAUCCCCGGGCUCAACCUGGGAACUGCAUUUGUGACUGCAAGGCUAGAGUACGGCAGAGGGGGAUGGAAUUCCGCGUGUAGCAGUGAAAUGCGUAGAUAUGCGGAGGAACACCAAUGGCGAAGGCAAUCCCCUGGGCCUGUACUGACGCUCAUGCACGAAAGCGUGGGGAGCAAACAGG
rnacentral:rRNA from 1 species